rnacentral:tRNA from 1 species
GCGUCGGUACUCAAGUGGUCAACGAGGGCGGUCUGUAAAACCGCUGGCAUCGCCUACGUAGGUUCGAAUCCUACCCGACGCA